CCUAGGGAUGCUCCCUCCAUGUACAUGACAUGCGGGUUGCAAAUACUUUUGUCUCGGUGUGGAAAAGCAGGCUGGAGAAAGCGUGUGAUCCCACGUGGCCAAGAAUCUAGUCUUUCUGGGACUGAGAAUAUUCCUUUCACCUGUGUGAGAAGUUUUCAUCUGAGACAAAUGAAAAAUAUUCUAUCCCCUUCUCACUCCCCAUUUUACCAACUCUGUCAAGAACAAGAGGAAUGAGACUUGGAGAGAAACUGUCCCAAAAAGGGACCAGUACUGAAGGUGUGACUUUAGCUGAGGUCACCACAAACAGCAACAGCUGUCCAGCCUUAGGCUGAGCAAAUUCCACCUCAGAGAAACUACACAAGGAAAUGCAUCUACCAAAUGAUAAAAGCAAACAGCCCAUUGUAAGAAAAAAGGCUGCAGUGCUUUAUUUUAGAGGUGAACUCCUGCUACACCCUGGAGUCCAGAAGCUGAGGAGAACACGUGGGACUUGAUACAAUCUGAUUUUUACUGUUGCAUUUCAGGAAAUCCUUACAGCUUAAAACAAGCACCUCACAUACACAGUAGUGAAAAAGCCAGUAUAUAUUGCCCUGCCCAGCACUAUUCAUCUGCACAACAACCAUCAUGCAUUAAAAAAACCACAAACAAACAAACAAGGUUUAUUCAUGGAAUACUUCUGCAUGUUUUACUGGCAGGAGACAAGGAUUGCUGGGCACCAUUAGUGCCAUUAGAAAUUCAGCUCAUCACCUCACUAUUAUUCAGUGUCAUGGUAACAAUUUAGCACAGCCACACAGCACUUGCAGACCUUGCAUGUCCUGGAGUUUCCCCAACCCCUUUCUAAUACAAACAUACUCAAAUCCAGGCCUCCCACCUUUCCUUCAACUAAACAUACUCUAAAAAAAAAAAAAUAAUAAUAAAAACAAGUGUUGGCCACACACGACCAUUUUAGGAAAAAAAAUUUCCCUUUAUUCUCCAACACAAGGCAUAUCUUUGAAAAAGUAAAUGCUGUGAUAUUUUAUAACUACAGGAUAUAAAGGAUAUCAUGUAUCACCUCCAUAAUAUUUAACUUGUAUUCGAAGACACAAUGCUGUCAACAAAUAUUUAUGAUUUAAAAGAAAAUAAAAAAUCCACUAUAUUUUCAAAUGCCUGAAUGCUCAGAGACAAAUGUCUGUAGAAGUCCCUGGAAGCAGAAAAAAGCAAACCCCUACAAAUCAGUAAUCCUUUCAGAUUGUUGUGAUUUUAUUUUGAAUGCAUGCUCAUCUGAGAAAUUCAGGUUUCUGUUUACGAAGCUGCUUAUUAAACAAUGAUCAUUUUACACUGAACUACAGAUUGUGGGGGUUUUAUAUUAAGAAAAAGC